AACGAACGUUAGCGGCGCGCUUAACACAUGCAAGUCGAGCGAGAAAGGGCUUCGGCCCCGGUAAAGCGGCGCACGGGUGAGUAACACGUAGGUAAUCUGCCCUCAGGUGGUGGAUAACUUUCCGAAAGGAAGGCUAAUACAGCAUGAGACCACGGCUCCGAAAGGGACAGGGGUCAAAGCCGGCCAAUUCAUGAAAGCUGGUGCCAGAGGAUGAGCCUGCGGCCCAUCAGCUAGUUGGUAGGGUAAUGGCCUACCAAGGCGAAGACGGGUAGCUGGUCUGAGAGGAUGAUCAGCCACACUGGAACUGAGACACGGUCCAGACUCCUACGGGAGGCAGCAGUGGGGAAUCUUGCGCAAUGGGCGAAAGCCUGACGCAGCGACGCCGCGUGAGUGAUGAAGGCCCUCGGGUUGUAAAGCUCUGUGGAGGGGGACGAAUAAGGGUUGGCUAAUAUCCAACUUGAUGACGGUACCCCUUUAGCAAGCACCGGCUAACUCUGUGCCAGCAGCCGCCGUAAAAC
rnacentral:rRNA from 1 species